UACGUAGCAGCGAGCGUUGUUCGGAGUUACUGGGCGUAAAGGGUGCGUAGGCGGCGCGGUAAGUCGGGUGUGAAAUCUCGGAGCUUAACUCCGAAACUGCAUUCGAUACUGCCGUGCUUGAGGACUGGAGAGGAGACUGGAAUUUACGGUGUAGCGGUGAAAUGCGUAGAUAUCGUAAGGAAGACCAGUGGCGAAGGCGGGUCUCUGGACAGUUCCUGACGCUGAGGCACGAAGGCCAGGGGAGCAAACGGG
rnacentral:rRNA from 1 species